rnacentral:rRNA from 1 species
CAGUAGCCGCGGGAAUACGUAGGUGGCAGGCGUUGUCCGGAAUUAUUGGGCGUAAAGGGCUCGCAGGCGGUUUCUUAAGUCUGAUGUGAAAGCCCCCGGCUCAACCGGGGAGGGUCAUUGGAAACUGGGAAACUUGAGUGCAGAAGAGGAGAGUGGAAUUCCACGUGUAGCGGUGAAAUGCGUAGAGAUGUGGAGGAACACCAGUGGCGAAGGCGACUCUCUGGUCUGUAACUGACGCUGAGGAGCGAAAGCGUGGGGAGCGAACAGGAUUAGAUACCCGAGUAGUCCCUGUCUCUUAUAC